AGUGAACGCUGGCGGUAGGCCUAACACAUGCAAGUCGAACGGCAGCACAGGAGAGCUUGCUCUCUGGGUGGCGAGUGGCGGACGGGUGAGGAAUGCAUCGGAAUCUACUCUUUCGUGGGGGAUAACGUAGGGAAACUUACGCUAAUACCGCAUACGACCUACGGGUGAAAGCCGGGGACCUUCGGGCCUGGCGCGAAUGAAUGAGCCGAUGCCCGAUUAGCUAGUUGGCGGGGUAAGAGCCCACCAAGGCGACGAUCGGUAGCUGGUCUGAGAGGAUGAUCAGCCACACUGGAACUGAGACACGGUCCAGACUCCUACGGGAGGCAGCAGUGGGGAAUAUUGGACAAUGGGCGCAAGCCUGAUCCAGCCAUACCGCGUGGGUGAAGAAGGCCUUCGGGUUGUAAAGCCCUUUUGUUGGGAAAGAAAAGCAAUCGGUUAAUACCCGGUUGUUCUGACGGUACCCAAAGAAUAAGCACCGGCUAACUUCGUGCCAGCCGCCGCAGUAAUAC
rnacentral:rRNA from 1 species